rnacentral:rRNA from 1 species
GACGAACGCUGGCGGCGUGCUUAACACAUGCAAGUCGAACGGAAAGGCCCUGCUUGCAGGGUGCUCGAGUGGCGAACGGGUGAGUAACACGUGGGUGAUCUGCCCCUUACUUUGGGAUAAGCCUGGGAAACUGGGUCUAAUACUGGAUAGGACCAUGCUGUAGGUGGUGUGGUGGAAAGAUUUUUUCGGUAAGGGGUGAGCUCGCGGCCUAUCAGCUUGUUGGUGGGGUAAUGGCCUACCAAGGCGUCGACGGGUAGCCGGCCUGAGAGGGUGGACGGCAACAUUGGGACUGAGAUACGGCCCAGACUCCUACGGGAGGCAGCAGUGGGGAAUAUGGAACAAUGGGCGCAAGCCUGAUGCAGCGACGCCGCGUGGGGGAUGACGGCCUUCGGGUUGUAAACUCCUUUCAGCCAUGACGAAGCCUCUUUUGGGGUGACGGUAGUGGUAGAAGAAGCACCGGCUAACUACGUG